rnacentral:rRNA from 1 species
GACGAACGCUGGCGGCGUGCCUAAUACAUGCAAGUAGAACGCUGAAGGAGGAGCUUGCUUCUCCGGAUGAGUUGCGAACGGGUGAGUAACGCGUAGGUAACCUGCCUGGUAGCGGGGGAUAACUAUUGGAAACGAUAGCUAAUACCGCAUAACAGUAGAUGUUGCAUGACAUUUGCUUAAAAGGUGCAAUUGCAUCACUACCAGAUGGACCUGCGUUGUAUUAGCUAGUUGGUGAGGUAACGGCUCACCAAGGCGACGAUACAUAGCCGACCUGAGAGGGUGAUCGGCCACACUGGGAAUGAGACACGGCCCAGACUCCUAAGGGAGGCAGCAGGAGGGAAUCUUCGGCAAUGGACGGAAGUCUGACCGAGCAACGCCGCGGGAGGGAAGAAGGGUGUCGGAUCGUAAAGCUCUGUUGUAAGAGAAGAACGAGUGUGAGAGUGGAAAGUUCACACUGUGACGGUAUCUUACCAGAAAGGGACGGCUAACUACGUG